rnacentral:rRNA from 1 species
AAACUGAAGAGUUUGAUCAUGGCUCAGAUUGAACGCUGGCGGCAGGCCUAACACAUGCAAGUCGAGCGGCAGCACGGGAAGCUUGCUUCCUGGUGGCGAGCGGCGGACGGGUGAGUAAUGCAUAGGAAUCUGCCCGGUAGUGGGGGAUAACCUGGGGAAACCCAGGCUAAUACCGCAUACGCCCUACGGGGGAAAGCAGGGGCUCUUCGGACCUUGCGCUAUCGGAUGAGCCUAUGUCGGAUUAGCUGGUUGGUGAGGUAAUGGCUCACCAAGGCGACGAUCCGUAGCUGGUCUGAGAGGAUGAUCAGCCACAUCGGGACUGAGACACGGCCCGAACUCCUACGGGAGGCAGCAGUGGGGAAUAUUGGACAAUGGGCGCAAGCCUGAUCCAGCCAUGCCGCGUGUGUGAAGAAGGCUUUCGGGUUGUAAAGCACUUUCAGUGAGGAGGAAGGCUUGAAGGUUAAUACCCUUCAGGAUUGACGUUAC